rnacentral:rRNA from 1 species
UUAAAUUGAAGAGUUUGAUCAUGGCUCAGAUUGAACGCUGGCGGCAGGCCUAACACAUGCAAGUCGAACGGUAACAGAAAGCAGCUUGCUGCUUUGCUGACGAGUGGCGGACGGGUGAGUAAUG